AUUAUUACAUUUACAAACCACGUGACUGGGGUAAUAAUGUUUGUCGUACCACAGAGCUAACACGCGUGUACCUUCGUGCAACAAGUGCGGGAUAGGUGGAGACGUGGAAGAUCUGCGUGACGUUCUCUGAUUGUCCACAGAGAAGGGACGUUUGCGUUUCUGCUUCGGUAAAGAUACCGCAUUGUUUGUUGUUUGUUUCCGAGGCAAAGUUUCAGUUCUUCCUUCAGUGCUGGAGAUAUUCUCAUCAGGGCUGAUGGACGAUAUUCAAUUUAACGAAGCUUGGAAUAAUGACGGGCUAACGGUACUUGGUGUUGACGCGCUUUUAGAUAGUUAAUUCGUUUACGGAGCUUUCUGGACUGUCUAAAAUAAUUAUAUCGUUGUCUUUUGUUACUUGAACAACGUUCGAGCUUCUCAGAUCAAUUUCCUUAUUUAG